CUGCUUAAGUGAGAAGAAAGAAUACAUUUCUACUUUGUUUUUCUUUUUUGACAGCUAUCAGAUUAUCCCCUCUAUGCAGUGUAUGUACCUGACUUGCUUUAAAAUUAUUUUACUUCACUCUGUAUCAGGUGAGAUACAGCACUGCAGAUCUUAGUGAGUAAUUUGCCCUAAUGACAAGUUAAUUGGCAUGUUUAAAUACUAACAGCUGCUAAGUUGUUAGCAGUACUCAUGGGUUUGUGUUUUCAAUGUUCAGUGAUGCCAGGAACACCUUUCAGGUUUGAGCUGCUGGAUAUUCCAUCAGGAAGCAACUCCAUGGCAGGAAAUUUACUGAAGAGAUCCCAAAAAAUAGAUUUCAUUCUUCAGGUUUUUUCCCAGGAAUUUUCAGCGCUGGGGAUGAACUGGUAUUUUCUACGUAACAGCCUUGGCUCCUUUCAUCUGGAGAAACUGACCAAGGAGCCUCCCUUGCCCCUAAAUGGUUUCCUUGAAUUUUGGAUAUUGCAUGUACUUUGAUGCAUUACAGCAUUCAAUGGAGUGGCUGCAGCCAUUCCUGAGACUGCAUGGUGAAUACACAAAAAAAGGACUGUGCAAGCAUUCCCAUUCUGUUUUACUUUACCUUUUCUGGUUGUGGAUCUGCAAGGCAACACAGCAGCUUCUGCAUCUUUCAGAUGCUGAAGUGUAGAAAUAACUUGUCAUUUCUGCGAUAUUAUGUGGGAGAAAGCAAAGGUACCAAAUACGAACAGCAGCAGAGAUGUGCUAAGCACAGGCACAUCUGGCAGUGCCUCAGAGUUCCAGGCAGCAUCUCCACAUUUUCUUUGCAAUCCUAUUUCCACAGGAUUCGAAGCUCUGAGAUGAUGGCCAAUAACCAGUGGCACCUAAUUGAACUUCAGGCUACUGUAUUACAUUGGGGGGAACGUGACAGUAUCUCCUACUUUUGCUUUUCUAGCCUGGCAGGCACUUCUAGUCUUUCAGACUUCCAGCUCUGCCAGAAAAUGUGGCCACUAAUACACACCAGUUGCGUUAAAUUGGAAGAACAAUCGCCUCAAGUGUUUCAAGCUGAAUUUGAAAUGCAAAAGAAUUAACCCCAAACCACAACUAUCUUUUGGAAAAGUAAAUAAGAAAACAUCCUCUCAGUAUGGUCAUUUUUCUGCUCUGAGGAUGAAUUUGUCUGAGGGUGUAAUUAAUUAUUUUGCUUUUAAUUUGUUUUUUUGUGGGUUUGUUGUUUUUUUUUUUUACUUCUUGUGGGAUCUAAGUACAACUUCUGCAACACUUAAUAUUCCUAUUGAAAACUUCAUUAGAUUAAGGAAUUUUUUGUAAGUAAUGGGGUUAGUUAUCACCUCAAAUACACUAAUAUGUACCAUUCACAUACAGAGGGUCUGGUAUUUGAACAGGAGAAAUCACAGUUUUACACUAGACAUGGAGUAAGUGAAAUUGUAUGAUUUGUGCUGACCAUAAGCACUUCUCCAAAGCAUGUGAGCAAUUAUUCAAGGGGUGUUUCUGCAGUGUAGAGGUUGUCCCAUCUGCCUCUCAAGCAAACAUACACUGGUUGGUAAUGGGGCAGAAAAAAGUUAUUUCCAAAUUUAUCAAGUUGGACUCAGUGAUUUUAAGGCUCUUGUCCACCUUAAAUGAUUCUAAAGUAGAGAAAGCUCAGGUUCAUCCAUUGUCACCACACAAGUGAAAAUUACUCUAUUGGAUCUGAGUUCUGCUUUGGUAUGGUUGAUGUUUACCUAUGUUCUUUCUCCUUUUUGUGUAAUCUCUCACCCUAAAACCCCACAAUUAUUGCUGCAGAAGAGCAAACAUCUUCCCAGAAAUAAAAUUCUAUUAGCAAGCUUCA
rnacentral:lncRNA from 1 species